CAGGAUUGGUCCUUGGUGCCUUAUUUAGUUCAUUUGGUGAGGUCAUGUUUUCCUGGAUGGUGUUGAUACUUGCAGAUGUUUGUCUGGGUCUGGGCAUUGAAGACUUAGGUAUUAAUUAUAGUCUUUUCAGUCUGGGCUUGUUUGUACCCAUCCUUCUUAUGAAGGCAUUCAGGUAUUUGAAAUGACUUGGAUGUUAUUAUCUAAGCUGUACCUGAUUUAGAGGGCACCCCAAGCCCAGUAGCAUUGUGAUUCUUACAGACUUAUAGAGGUACCGCCUUGAUGGUCUUGGACAAGAUCUGGGAGAAUUCUCUGUAUUAUAAAGCAGAGACUCUUGUACUCUUCCCUUACUUUCUCCCAAACAAAUGGAGUCUUUCUCUUUCUCUCUGUUCUGAGCCACCUAAAGUUGGUGGUGGAGUGACAAAAUCACCGUUGUGGCUACCACCACUAUGACCAUACUGGGUCAGACCUGAAGCCAGCACAGCACUGGGUCUCACCCAAAGCCUGCUAUAAUCACUCCCUGGCCGCUGCCUAUGUUCACUCAAGGCCCUGGGGCUCAACAAUCAGCAAAUGGCAAAGCCAGCCAGGCCUGUGUCUUCUUCUCAGGGUGGUGAGUUCCCCAGGCCCCAGGUGGGUCCAGAGGUGCCAUCCAGGAGCCAGGGAUUAGAGGUCAAAAACCUUAGAUGUCUACCUGCUGUUCUAUUGUACUGCAGCUGACCUGGCAUUCAAACUACAAGACACAGUCCUUAACACUCUUCCCUCCCGUUUUCAAAGGCAGAGAAGUCUCGCUCUGUGGCCACUGCCACCAAAGGCCCAUGGGGAGUUUUGCCAGACUACUGCCAAUGUUCCCUCAAGACCCAGUGGCUCUUUAGUCAGCUUGUGGUGAAUGCUUCCUGGCCUGGGACUCACCCUUCAGGGUGGUGACCUCCCCUCUGGCCCAGGGCAGGUCCAGAAAUGCCAUCCAAGAGCCAAGUCCUGGAAUGGGGAUCCCAAGAGCCUAUUUGGUGGUCUACCCGGCUUUGGCUGAGCUGGUACCUAAGGUGUAAGACAAAGUACUCUUUACUUUUCCCUCUGCUUCCUCAAGCAGAUGGAGUUUUGCCCUGUAGCCAUCAGAUGUGGGAAUGUUCUGAGUCUCACCUGAUGCCAGUAAGUCUCAGAGGCUUACCCAAGGCCCUCAACAUAAUAUGUGGGUAAUACUGCUGGUUGUUUAGGACCCAAGGGCUCUUCAGUUAGCAGGUGAUGUAUGCUGCCAGGUCUGGGUCCUUUCCUUCAAGACAGCAGAUUCCCCUCUGGCCUAGGAUGUGUCUAGAAAUGUCAUCUGGGAGCUAGGGCUGGAAUGGGGAUCUCACGAUCUUGACUGGUGCCCUUUCCUGCUGUAGCUGAGCUGGUAUUCAAGAUGCAAGACAAAGUCCUCCCCACUCUUCCCUCUCCUCUCAAGUGGAAGGAAGAGAUCUCUUUUGGAGCCUUGAGCUGUUCAACCUGGGUUUAGGGGAGAGGUGAUGCCAGCACUGACUUAGUUGCCCUAGUAGGUGUUUCAGUAGGUCACAUACUCCCAUAGUCCACUGUCUCUGGGCCCUGCUCAGCAGUAGGACUCUCCUAUGAGUUGCAGUCCUUGUGGCUAGACUGCCUUUCUAGUUUAUUUAGAUCUGAGCACUUUAGCCCAUGGUGGUGAGGCUUGUGGGAACUCAAGUUCCAACCACUGGGAUCAGCGAUACCUCUCUGGCUAGGGCUGUUCUAAAUGCUCCCUCUGUGGGUGGAUGUUGGCUGAGUUUGGUCCAGUUUUCCUUUCAACUGUAAGAAAGGCAGCACUGAGUUCAAUGCCUCAUAAUCGCUGUGCUCUUCCUUUCCCCAGGAUACAGAAAUGCUCUCUGCACUGCGCUGCCACUGCUGGGGGAUGGAGGGAUUUUGUGUCAGCAACUCAAGACUGUUUUUUCUACCCUUCGGUGCCUCUUUCAGUGAUAUGAAGUUAAAACCAGAUCUGAAAGGUCAAUGGUGUAGUGGAAAGCGUGUAGAUGUUGGCAUUAGACCCAAGUUAAACCUCAGACCUUCCAGUUACAGACGGUGUCAUCAUGAGUCUCUUCUUCAGCCCUUGGACACAGUGUCAUCCCUAUUGGAGUCAAUAAAGGAGAACGGAAAGAGAGAUUCAAGACACACAAAGAGGAUAAACAUGGAGUUGAAGGCCAUGUGAAGAUGGAAGCAGAGACUGGAAUGAUGCAUCACCAUCAAGAAUUGCUGGCACCCACAAGAAGCUAGGAGAGAGGCGUGGGACAGAUUCUCCCUCUAAACCUCCAGAAGAAACCAACUCUGCUGACACUGUGAUUUCAGACUUCUGGUCCUCACAACUGUGAGAGAAUUCAUUUCUGUUGCUAUAAGCCACCAAAUUUGUGGUAACUUGUUCUGCAGCCUUAGGAAAUUAACACAUUUGGUGUGUUAAUUAGGUUGAUAAUUAGGUCAACUUCCCAUAAGUGAAAGCCUGUGGGAAUGUUGGGCUAAGAGACCUAUUUCUGAUUUCUGGCUCCACAACUUAUUAGUUUGUGGUCAUAAACAUUUAACCUCUGUGAACCUCAGUUUUCUUAUCUGUAGAAUGGGCUUCCUUGAAGGAGCCUUCUCCUGAAUCCAGUCUGUAAAAAACUUUUGUUCUCUAGGCAAACUUUCCCUUUAUCUCUACACUUAGGCCCUGUGUUAAUUAUUUUUGCUUAUCUUUGAUUCUAUCAGACUGAACAAAUUCUCUGAGGGCUGAGAUUAUAUGAUGUUUACCUUAAUGGUAAUGAUACCUAUAACACAGCAGGUAUCCUCAAUCCAUGCUUAUAUGGUUGUUUGGAGGAGUAAGUCUGGUACUUGGUAGCAAUGGUUAUCUAUGAUAAUUAUUUAUGACUGUUUUUAAGAUUUGUAGUCUUCUUUUUCAUUUUUAGUCACACAUCUGUACAUCCCUCAGGGAAAAGGCAGAAUUUAGACUGUUUUUUUGAGAAACAUGUAUACUUAAGCUCGUGGAGAGGUUCAAGGAAAAUGCUGUAGGUGAAGGAUACAACAGGAAAUGAGCGUGGUCUGCUCACAGGAUGCUAGGAGCCUAUCUGCAUAGAGGGGAAGCUUCAUUCCUGCAUAAAAAGAUGUAUUCUUAGGUAUUCUUAGCUGUAUUGUAAGUUCCCUUUCCCUUAAAGCAUGGUAUGCAAACUCUAUAGUAUAGGAUCCACAUUUUUGCACGUGUUUCCUUUUUGUUAAACUUAUUUGUUUAUAUACAUGACCUCAACAUGUUUGUGGCCUAGGGUCAUGUGUGGUGAAACUAAAUGGGAUCACAGAUCUCAGAACUAUGGCCAGACCAGCUGUCCGAAUCUGGGAUUAUCUCCAUCUAUAAAUAGUGACUGGGCACAAAAUCAACUAGCAAAAUUAAGGGUUAUAGGGCUUGGGUAUUUGGGGAAAAAAAGAAAGGAAAGCAUGCCAAGAAAUCCAAGUGUUAGAAAUUAACCCUCCAGGAACAAAAGCAGUGGAAAGCUAUAGGCAACCGCAAUUGACAGCAAUAAAUCUCGUCAGGAAUGGAAAUGUAUGAAUUGGUAAAAAGGAAAAUAUAAGGUGUUUUGAGAUGCUAAACUCCCUCUGUAUCAGAACUGUGCUGCCUGUUUUUGAAAAAAUAAUUCAAAGGAUUUCACUCUUUAAGGGUAUUGCACAUGAAAAAUUGAAAUCUUUAUAUUCAUAAAACAACUGCAUGAAUAAAAUUAGCAUUUAAAAGGGA